UUACUGACGCUGAGGAGCGAAAGCAUGGGGAGCGAACAGGAUUAGAUACCCUGGUAGUCCAUGCCGUAAACGUUGGGCACUAGGUGUGGGGGACAUUCCACGUUUUCCGCGCCGUAGCUAACGCAUUAAGUGCCCCGCCUGGGGAGUACGGCCGCAAGGCUAAAACUCAAAGGAAUUGACGGGGGCCCGCACAAGCGGCGGAGCAUGCGGAUUAAUUCGAUGCAACGCGAAGAACCUUACCAAGGCUUGACAUACACCGGAUCGUUCCAGAGAUGGUUCUUCCCUUUUGGGCUGGUGUACAGGUGGUGCAUGGUUGUCGUCAGCUCGUGUCGUGAGAUGUUGGGUUAAGUCCCGCAACGAGCGCAACCCUCGUUCUAUGUUGCCAGCACGUGAUGGUGGGGACUCAUAGGAGACUGCCGGGGUCAACUCGGAGGAAGGUGGGGAUGACGUCAAAUCAUCAUGCCCCUUAUGUCUUGGGCUUCACGCAUGCUACAAUGGCCGGUACAAUGGGUUGCGAUACUGUGAGGUGGAGCUAAUCCCAAAAAGCCGGUCUCAGUUCGGAUUGGGGUCUGCAACUCGACCCCAUGAAGUCGGAGUCGCUAGUAAUCGCAGAUCAGCAACGCUGCGGUGAAUACGUUCCCGGGCCUUG
rnacentral:rRNA from 1 species